rnacentral:rRNA from 5 species
UGAGCUUGAUCCUGGCUCAGGAUGAACGCUAGCGGCAGGCUUAACACAUGCAAGUCGAGGGGUAUAGUUCUUCGGAAUUAGAGACCGGCGCACGGGUGCGUAACGCGUAUGCAAUCUACCUUUUACAGAGGGAUAGCCCAGAGAAAUUUGGAUUAAUACCUCAUAGUAUAAUGACUUGGCAUCAAGACAUUAUUAAAGUCACAACGGUAAAAGAUGAGCAUGCGUCCCAUUAGCUAGUUGGUAAGGUAACGGCUUACCAAGGCUACGAUGGGUAGGGGUCCUGAGAGGGAGAUCCCCCACACUGGUACUGAGACACGGACCAGACUCCUACGGGAGGCAGCAGUGAGGAAUAUUGGACAAUGGGCGCAAGCCUGAUCCAGCCAUGCCGCGUGCAGGAUGACGGUCCUAUGGAUUGUAAACUGCUUUUAUACGAGAAGAAACACUACUUCGUGAAGUAGCUGACGG